rnacentral:lncRNA from 1 species
UUCAUUCAAGCUACCACAAAGGUCUAAGGGUGGCUUCCCAUAAGUCUCUAGAAGGGACAGCAAUGAUACAAACCAACCACAUGAUAUGUGUCUUUCCCCCUGCACAGACCACAGUGACCAUCGUGGGAAGCUUCUCUGCAAAACACUCAGAGUGCGUGGUGAAGAACGCAGACACCGGCAAGCUGCUCUGCCAAGGGAGAAGUCAGCUGAACCGGACCUGUGCCUGCAACAUCCCCAGCAGACAGAGCUACAAUGUCUUAGUUGUCAAUGCAACGUUCUUCUUCCCAUCUUGGAACUUAUCAGAAAGAUUCAACUUUACCAACUGUGCAUCAUUAAAAGAAUGCCCAGCAUGUAUCGGAACUGGCUGUGCUUGGUGUAAACCUGACCAAAAAUGCAUCCACCCCUUCGCAGCCUGCGACCC